rnacentral:rRNA from 1 species
GACGAACGCUGGCGGCGUGCUUAACACAUGCAAGUCGAACGGUGACGGAGAGCUUGCUCUCCUGAUCAGUGGCGAACGGGUGAGUAACACGUGGGCAACCUGCCCAGACUUCGGGAUAACGCUUCGAAAGAGGUGCUAAUACCGAAUACGAACGCCGUGGGCAUCCACGGUGUUGGAAAGUUUUUCGGUCUGGGAUGGGCCCGCGGCCUAUCAGCUUGUUGGUGAGGUAAUGGCUCACCAAGGCGACGACGGGUAGCCGGCCUGAGAGGGCGACCGGCCACACUGGGACUGAGACACGGCCCAGACUCCUACGGGAGGCAGCAGUGGGGAAUAUUGCGCAAUGGGCGAAAGCCUGACGCAGCAACGCCGCGUGGGGGAUGAAGGCC